AAAUUGAAGAGUUUGAUCAUGGCUCAGAUUGAACGCUGGCGGCAGGCCUAACACAUGCAAGUCGAGCGGUAGCACAGAGAGCUUGCUCUCGGGUGACGAGCGGCGGACGGGUGAGUAAUGUCUGGGAAACUGCCUGAUGGAGGGGGAUAACUACUGGAAACGGUAGCUAAUACCGCAUAAUGUCGCAAGACCAAAGUGGGGGACCUUCGGGCCUCAUGCCAUCAGAUGUGCCCAGAUGGGAUUAGCUAGUAGGUGGGGUAACGGCUCACCUAGGCGACGAUCCCUAGCUGGUCUGAGAGGAUGACCAGCCACACUGGAACUGAGACACGGUCCAGACUCCUACGGGAGGCAGCAGUGGGGAAUAUUGCACAAUGGGCGCAAGCCUGAUGCAGCCAUGCCGCGUGUGUGAAGAAGGCCUUCGGGUUGUAAAGCACUUUCAGCGGGGAGGAAGGCGGUGAGAUUAAUAACCUCAUCGAUUGACGUUACCCGCAGAAGAAGCACCGGCUAACUCCGUGCCAGCAGCCGCGGUAAUACGGAGGGUGCAAGCGUUAAUCGGAAUUACUGGGCGUAAAGCGCACGCAGGCGGUCUGUCAAGUCGGAUGUGAAAUCCCCGGGCUCAACCUGGGAACUGCAUUCGAAACUGGCAGGCUAGAGUCUUGUAGAGGGGGUAGAAUUCCAGGUGUAGCGGUGAAAUGCGUAGAGAUCUGGAGGAAUACCGGUGGCGAAGGCGGCCCCCUGGACAAAGACUGACGCUCAGGUGCGAAAGCGUGGGGAGCAAACAGGAUUAGAUACCCUGGUAGUCCACGCCGUAAACGAUGUCGAUUUGGAGGUUGUGCCCUUGAGGCGUGGCUUCCGGAGCUAACGCGUUAAAUCGACCGCCUGGGGAGUACGGCCGCAAGGUUAAAACUCAAAUGAAUUGACGGGGGCCCGCACAAGCGGUGGAGCAUGUGGUUUAAUUCGAUGCAACGCGAAGAACCUUACCUGGUCUUGACAUCCACAGAACUUUCCAGAGAUGGAUUGGUGCCUUCGGGAACUGUGAGACAGGUGCUGCAUGGCUGUCGUCAGCUCGUGUUGUGAAAUGUUGGGUUAAGUCCCGCAACGAGCGCAACCCUUAUCCUUUGUUGCCAGCGGUUCGGCCGGGAACUCAAAGGAGACUGCCAGUGAUAAACUGGAGGAAGGUGGGGAUGACGUCAAGUCAUCAUGGCCCUUACGACCAGGGCUACACACGUGCUACAAUGGCAUAUACAAAGAGAAGCGACCUCGCGAGAGCAAGCGGACCUCAUAAAGUAUGUCGUAGUCCGGAUUGGAGUCUGCAACUCGACUCCAUGAAGUCGGAAUCGCUAGUAAUCGUAGAUCAGAAUGCUACGGUGAAUACGUUCCCGGGCCUUGUACACACCGCCCGUCACACCAUGGGAGUGGGUUGCAAAAGAAGUAGGUAGCUUAACCUUCGGGAGGGCGCUUACCACUUUGUGAUUCAUGACUGGGGUGAAGUCGUAACAAGGUAACCGUAGGGGAACCUGCGGUUGGAUCACCUCCUUA
rnacentral:rRNA from 1 species